rnacentral:lncRNA from 1 species
CGAAGUUAAAAGCCAAAAUGGUUAAAACGAAAAUUUUAAAGUUCUAGUUUCAUUUUCCAGACUCUAUAAAUAAUCCACUAUAUUUCUUCAGUCUCACAUCCUGGUAUCCAACACACUCUCCAUCUUUCUAUCUCUCACUUGCUUUUACUUGGAUACUUCGAGGAAAGAUUUCAGAUUUCUCUUAAUCUUCCCAAUCCAACUAAGUAAUCCACGUGAUCCCAUUGAUUCAAAAAGCUAGUUUUCCUUGGUAACAUUUGCCUGUACGUAGCAUCUAAGAAGGUAAUAUUUUUGCAUCUUUAGUUUUUCUCAUAUUUUCAUGUCUGCUCAUUUUUAAUUUGCGCUCACUUCUUAAGUAAACCACUUUGAUGCAUAUUUUCUCUUGGUUUCGGGAUAGUGUUCAUUGUAAACUCGAGCCAAUAUAUAAUUUUGGAUCUAGUAUUGAGGCUAAUUGUUGUCAAAAGUGGUAUAUGUAUGUAUAUAUCUAAUGCAUUGUGCUUUAUAAUUUAUAUGGAUGAAAAUAUUCAUGUGAUAAAAUGCACAAAGUUUGUGGGGCUCCUAACUAGCAUUAAUAGUUCGAAAACGAUAUGAUGAUAAGUGUGGAGCGCGAUGUUUAUUUGAAUUCGAUUCGUUGACAUUUCAUUGUUUGCUUUAUAGAAAAGUAAUAAAACGUUUAACUACUUACUAAAAUAUGUUUGUUAAAAGACAAUAAAGUAAAUACUAUGAAUCAAUCUUGAUAUCAUCGUUUUUAACAAAAAUAAUAAUAAUACGUGAAAAUAACCAAUAACCAUUUAUCAGCAUGACAGCAUCAAACAAACUGAAGUUACUAUAUGACGUGAAAAAGAACAUGUUGUAGGAAAGAAAACAAUGAGCAAUGAGAAAGAUGAUAAUGGACUAAUCAAUGGAGGAUAUACAAUGAGAAAGAAACAUAACUACUAAAAUAAUUGUAUGUUCGUUUAAUACCAAAGCAUUUAAAACUUAUAAAACUCAAAUCUUAAUUAGGCACCCAAACAAGAUUACAAGAUCUAGUUAUUUGUUCUAUUUGAAUUAUUUAUAAGAUUUAUAUGAAAAAUAAGAAAACUAACGAAACAACAUUCUUGUUAUAGGUUGUACUACAAAGAAUACACUACAAUUCAAAAUCUGUAAUCCUUGUUGUGUAAUACAUCUAAUUUAUCAACAUUAAUUAUCACCUCUAAAUUCAGUUAAUCUGGUGUAUUUAGAAGUGAUCACUUCUAAAUACACAUGAUAAGAUAACAUUAUUAAAUACGCGUUAAAAGAUGUAACUUGGAUAUGUAGCCAUGUAGGAUAAAUGAUCAAAUAUGAAUAGUUUAGGAAUAUUUUUAUUUCAAAUUUUAUAAUUAUCAAAUACAACUUUGUCCAAAUGAAAUAAAUUAUUAUUUGAAGUCAAAACAUUUAAUGCAUCAGUUACUUAAACAAUUAAUUCCAUAUUUACUUAUGUAAACACAUAUAUAUAGGUGUGUGUAUGUGUAUGUACAUUUGCCGUUCUAAAAAUUAAAAAUGUGUAUGUACGUACAUGUGUAAAAAGAAUAUAAGUUUAUUUCAUAAAUAUUUAUAUAACAAAUAAUGUAAACUUAUCUGGAAUAUAUAUACCUGGUGCUGUGACCCACUGUAUGUUUGUACAUACCGCUGCAAUUUUCCAACAGCUCCUUGUUCGUCUGCGUGCUUUUCUUAAUUAAAAAAUUAUAUGACUAAUAAUCAAAUACCCAAAAUUCUACCUUGUGACAUAAAAUAAUCAAACCGUAUGUGUUGUGAUUGUACUAAAAAAGAUACAAUGGUAUUUUAAUACAAACAUAACAUAUACAUAUGGUUUGAAUAAUAUUGUAAUUUAGUUAUACAGAGUUUUUUUUUACAAAGAGUUUUUAUAGUAUAAACUUUAAUUUAGUUAUAGGCGUGUUUCACAGCGUGUUUUUGAGAAUUUUUAAAAACUUUUAGACUUUAGCUUUUAAAAAAAAAACUCAAACUAAAGGAAAAUAUUUAUUUAAAAUUCGAACUUAAAACUUUUAUUUUAAAUAAUUCAAAAACUACUUCAAAUACAUUUAAGAGAAAAAAAUCAAUCUAUGUAAUAACCAAUUUAGUAAAUUACCUUUGUUAAACAUUAUCCUAAUCACGUUUAAUAAAUUUAUGUUUUUUAAUGAUUUUUAUUUGUAUACCACAAAAGACAAAAACACAACUACCCAAUCAAAGAUAAGCUUCUGGUUCAAACUGCAAAGAACAACAGAUACACAAAACUUUCUUAAUAUUUAUUUAAAAGUACGAAAAUAUGCAAUUGAUUCUCAUUUAUAUUUGUUAUCAUGCACUGAGUGCAUUCUACAGAGUUCUCUAAAUCAUUAAUAAAGCAAUGUAAUAGAUCAAAUUUAUUUUUUAUCAUUUAACAAAACCCAGAUUUGACGUCGUAUUACUUAACACUAAAGAAACAUAUCAAUCAUAAUAACUUGCCAUCGUAAGCACGUCCACAAAUUUCCAUGCAACGUGAAAGUUAAGUCAGCAUCAAUAAGUAUGAUGUGGACUCUAAUAGAACUUUCGUCGAAGUUUCUCUCUAAUGUCGUAUGCAUAAAAAAUUCCAUAUAAAACGUUAUAGUGUACGUCUUUGUCUAUUUAUAUUAUCUUUCUUCUCGUCUUAUAUACGUAGUUUCAACUGAUUAAUCGAUAGUUGUUAACAAUAAUUAAUGGUCCCAUGAGCGGCAUAUUUUAUUUGAAUUUUAGUAUAAUGGAUAAAGUAUUCCUCAUAUAAAACGAAUAUAUCGUCGAUCUAUAUUGCUCUGAGUAGAAGGAUGUAAAAGUGACGACUGCAUAUGACCUUAAAGAAUAAGGAGUCCAACUAUGAAUUUGUUAUAUAUAAAAACAGAAAGACUAUUGAGACAAUUUAAGUAAAAAUGAUCAUUCUCAUAAGAGUCUAAGAACAAUUUUUUUUUAAUAUCAAUAUGUAUAUUAAUUAUAGAAUUUAAUAAGCUUAGGUACCCAAACUCAUCAGAAUACAUCGUUUUGUUUAUAUAUUCAUUAUAAUGUUCUUAAACUUCAAUCCCUAACUUGAUUACUUUCAAGAUUUUUAAAAUUUCACUAUUUUCUUACUCUUACAUCACAUCUUUUUGCCGAACACCUACUACGCUAUAUAUAUUAUAGUUGAAAAUGAAAACUAUGUAAGAGGAAGAUAAAUGUGAAAUUUAUAAAAAUCUUGAAAGUAAAUCAAGUUAGAAGUUGAAUUAUAAGAACAUUAGACAAUUACAAUGUAUAUAUAUGAUACCAAACGACAUAGUAUGGUGAGUUUGGAUACCUAAACUUAUAUACCUUUAAGUUAUUUUCAUUUUUCCCAUAUAUAUAUAUAUAUAUAUAUAUAUAUAUAUAUAUAUAUAUAUAUAUAUAUAUAUACUCAUAUAUAUAUACUCACACAUAAANNNNNNNNNNNNNNNNNNNNNNNNNNNNNNNNNNNNNNNNNNNNNNNNNNNNNNNNNNNNNNNNNNNNNNNNNNNNNNNNNNNNNNNNNNNNNNNNNNNNNNNNNNNNNNNNNNNNNNNNNNNNNNNNNNNNNNNNNNNNNNNNNNNNNNNNNNNNNNNNNNNNNNNNNNNNNNNNNNNNNNNNNNNNNNNNNNNNNNNNNNNNNNNNNNNNNNNNNNNNNNNNNNNNNNNNNNNNNNNNUAAUAUUCAUAAUAGAAUAAUAAUAUAAAAUUUGUAUAGUUUAGUCUUAAACUUAUUUAUUGUUUUUAUUUGAAAUAUAUAUGUGUGUAUGUUUGUGUGGAAAAGAGAAUAUACUCUACAAAAUAUAUAAACUAAGAUAUCCUAACACAUCAUACUAUGUUGUUUUUGUAUCAUAUAUACAUUGUAAUCGUCAGAAGUUCUUAAAAUUCAACUCCAAAUUUGAUUACUUCCAAGAUUUUUGAAAGUUUAUUAUUAUCUUCCAUUUACAUCACAUUUUUUUCUCUUGAAUACCUACCACACUAUAUAUAUUAUAGUUGCAAAUAAAAAUUAUGUAAGAUGAAGAUAAUGAUGAUAUUUUUAUAAUUCUUGGAAGUUGUGACAACUGGGAAAUUUUCGUCAUCGACCGUCAUUAGAGAUUAGUAUGGACAAAUGAUGAUAAUAGCACUUUUCAUAUUUCAAGAAAAAUAUGAUUAGUUAUACGAUAGGGUCAAAAUAAGUGACAAAAAAAUUACGCCACUUUUUAUAAUGGUCAGUGUGUCAAUAUAGAUUUUGUAAAAAUCUGACUCUGAUUGGAAGAGUAAUGAUUUUAUAAAAAGUAGAAAUCAACCGUGUUAAUAAAGUAUCAAAAUGGUACAAGAAAUUGGUUGAGUUUGGCUAACGUCACAAAAACGAAAAUCUUAGGACUCCGAGAGAUACGAACUUUAAAAGAGAAAAUUUCAAAAAUUGAAUUCGUGUGAAGAAUAUACGAUUUUUAGAAAAAAUAUAAAAUACGGGUUAAAAAUAAAAGUUGAAAUUUGACAACGCAACCUUACCGAAAAUUAUAGUACUAUUAGACAGAUACAAAAGUAUAUAAAGAGGGUAAGAAACGAGAUUAAUAUAAGGAAUAUAUGAAUUUUAUAAAAGAUUUUGAGAUGUAUGCCAGAUUCGUGUGACACGAAUCUGACACCCAUAUUUUAUAAUGCCCGACGCACACGUCUGACACCCAGAUUCAUCGAGAUUAGAGAGACGUGGACCAUUAGAAGUGUGAUACGUGGCAAAUUCUAGAUGGAGCCACGAGUAGAGUGCACAUUGCGCGUGAAGUGUGUCGCAUGCCCAAACACUAGAAAUAGAGGUACUCACUUUGUAAUUUCUUCACACCCAAAACUCUCACACACACA